ensembl:lncRNA PVT1 Pvt1 oncogene
GAGCGCGUGUGGCGGCCGAGCACAUGGGCCCGCGGGCCGGGCGGGCUCGGGGCGGCCGGGACGAGGAGGGGCGACGACGAGCUGCGAGCAAAGAUGUGCCCCGGGACCCCCGGCACCUUCCAGUGGAUUUCCUUGCGGAAAGGAUGUUGGCGGUCCCUGUGACCUGUGGAGACACGGCCAGAUCUGCCCUCCAGAUUUAUUAGGAGAAAAACCUUCCCGGAAGCUGCAGAAGGACAAAUACAGAAUCCGUGUCUGGGAGAAACCUCGUGGCCUGGUCUCCAUUAUUUGAGAUGAGUUACAUCUUGGAGAGCUUUACAGAAAUUCCAUGCUGCCUUCAGCUUCCUUUGCCGCUCUGCAUCAUGUUGGACCAUAGCUGUCUGCAGUGCAGGAAGCCAACUAUUAAGGGGAAACAAAAGUGUUCUUAGGAGUCCUGCUGUCACUGUGGAUUGAGCCGGUGAAGCCCUGAGGGAUUUCAUCGCUGAGGUGGAUGGAGAAGCAGCUGGGGGCCUUGGCUGUAAGGACCCCUAAGGGCCUGAUCUUUUGGCCAGAAGGAGAUUAAAAAGAUGCCCCUCAAGAUGGCUGUGCCUGUCAGCUGCAUGGAGCUUCGUUCAAGUAUUUUCUGAGCCUGAUGGAUUUACAGUGAUCUUCAGUGGUCUGGGGAAUAACGCUGGUGGAACCAUGCACUGGAAUGACACACGCCCGGCACAUUUCAGGAUACUAAAAGUGGUUUUAAGGGAGGCUGUGGCUGAAUGCCUCAUGGAUUCUUACAGCUUGGAUGUCCAUGGGGGACGAAGGACUGCAGCUGGCUGAGAGGGUUGAGAUCUCUGUUUACUUAGAUCUCUGCCAACUUCCUUUGGGUCUCCCUAUGGAAUGUAAGACCCCGACUCUUCCUGGUGAAGCAUCUGAUGCACGUUCCAUCCGGCGCUCAGCUGGGCUUGAGGACUUCGCAGGUGAGCAGUAACGGAAAUCAGCCCCGUUUAUUCCUCCCAGCACCUGCCUUAUCCAACUCCCCACGCUGUGGCUGAGUCCCAGCCUGCUAUGGAAGCAUCACUGGACUCCCAUUGAACUCUGUGCAGAUUCGCUGUUCGUAGACAUGGUACCUGAUGGACACCAAGCUACGUACAGCUUCAAGGCCCCUUCUUUCUUUGCUAAUAAAAAAUAAAAAAUAAAAA